GAUGAAGAACGUAGUGAAAUGCGAUAAGUAAUGCGAAUUGCAGAAUUUCCGUGAGUCAUCGAAUCUUUGAACGCACAUUGCGCCCACUGGUAUUCCGGUGGGCAUGCCUGUUCGAGCGUCAUUAUCCUCCCUCAAACCUCUGUGUUUGGUGUUGGGCCGCGUUGGCGUCACAGCCAACUGGUCUCAAAGACAAUGACGGCGUCCGUGGGACCCUCUUCGCAACGAGCAUCUUCGGAAGCACGCGUCGAGUCUAAAGGACCUUCCGGGCCGGUCUACCCUUUAUCUUUCUAAGGUUGACCUCGGAUCAGGUAGGAAUACCCGCUGAACUUAAGCAUAUCAAUAAGCGGA
rnacentral:misc_RNA from 1 species